AAACUGAAGAGUUUGAUCCUGGCUCAGAUUGAACGCUGGCGGCAUGCCUAACACAUGCAAGUCGAACGGUAACAGGCCUUCGGGCGCUGACGAGUGGCGGACGGGUGAGUAAUACGUAGGAAUCUGCCUU
rnacentral:rRNA from 1 species